rnacentral:rRNA from 1 species
GUGGGGAAUCUUGCGCAAUGGGCGAAAGCCUGACGCAGCCAUGCCGCGUGAAUGAUGAAGGUCUUAGGAUUGUAAAAUUCUUUCACCGGGGACGAUAAUGACGGUACCCGGAGAAGAAGCUCCGGCUAACUUCGUGCCAGCAGCCGCGGUAAUACGAAGGGGGCUAGCGUUGCUCGGAAUUACUGGGCGUAAAGGGCGCGUAGGCGGACAGCUUAGUCAGAGGUGAAAGCCCAGGGCUCAACCUUGGAAUUGCCUUUGAUACUGGCUGUCUUGAGUUUGGGAGAGGUGAGUGGAACUCCGAGUGUAGAGGUGAAAUUCGUAGAUAUUCGGAAGAACACCAGUGGCGAAGGCGACUCACUGGCCCAAUUCUGACGCUGAGGCGCGAAAGCGUGGGGAGCAAACAGGAUUAGAAACCCCGGUAGUCC